rnacentral:rRNA from 1 species
AGUUGCAUGACGUAGACCCGAAACCGGGUGACCUAUCCAUGGGCAGGUUGAAGUGGAAGUAAAAUUUCAUGGAGGACCGAACCAGACGUCUGUUGAAAAAGGCGGGGAUGACCUGUGGAUAGCGGAGAAAUUCCAAUCGAACCCGGAGAUAGCUGGUUCUCCUCGAAAUAGCUUUAGGGCUAGCCUCGCAUUAGUUUACCGGAGGUAGAGCACUGAAUGGUCUAGGGGGCCUCACCGCCUACCGAAACCUAUCAAACUGCGAAUGCCGGAUAAAUGAUGUGCGGGAGUCAGGCCGCGAGAGAUAAGUUCCGCGGUCAAAAGGGGAACACCCCAGAUCGUCUGCUAAGGUCCCCAAGUACGCGUUAAGUGGGAAAGGAUGUUGGAUUGCACAGACAACCAGGAUGUUGGCUUAGAAGCAGCCACACAUUCAAAGAGUGCGUAAUAGCUCACUGGUCGAGUGAUCCAGCGCCGAAAAUGUAACGGGGCUAAAACGCGACACCGAAGCAGCGGGAUGCGUAAGCAUCGGUAGAGGAGCAUUGUGUGAGGAUAGAAGCCAGAGCGGGAGCACUGGUGGACUUCACAGAAGAGAGAAUGCCGGUAUGAGUAGCGAGACCCAUGCGAGAAACAUGGGCGUCGAAGGCCCAAGGUUUCCUGGGGAAGGUUCAUCCACCCAGGGUAAGUCGGGACCUAAGCCGAGGACUGAGGUCGUAGGCGAUGGACAGCAGGUAGAGAUUCCUGCACCACUUACACUUGUUUGACGAAGCAGUGACACAGAAGGAUAGGACGAGCGCGGUGAUGGUCAACCGCGUAGGCGGCACGAGGCUGGGGAGCAGUAAAGCACACUUCCCGCGAAGGCUGAGUGCUGACAGGACCGAAAAAGAGUAGGGAAGCGUCUGAGUUCACGCUGGCGAGAAAAGCUGCUAAGGAGAGUGUGAGUGCCCGUACCGGAAACCGACGCAGGUGGGCGAGGAGAGAAUCCUGAGACGGACGGGAGAACUCUUGUUAAGGAACUCGGCAAAAUGACCCCGUAACUUCGGGAGAAGGGGUGCCUCGAAAGAGGCCGCAGAGAAUAGUCACAAGCGACUGUUUAGCAAAAACACAGGUAUCUGCGAAAGCGAGAGCUGACGUAUAGGUGCUGACGCCUGCCCGGUGCUGGAAGGUUAAGGGGAAGUGUUAGGGGGAACCCGAAGCAGAGAACCGAAGCCCCAGUAAACGGCGGCCGUAACUAUAACGGUCCUAAGGUAGCGAAAUUCCUUGUCGGGUAAGUUCCGACCCGCACGAAUGGCGUAACGACUUGUGAGCUGUCUCAACAGGAGGCCCGGUGAAAUUGAAGUAUGUGUGAAGAUGCACAUUACCCGCGACUGGACGGAAAGACCCCGUAGAGCUUUACUGUAACCUGACAUUGGAUCUUGAUAACGGAUGCACAGGAUAGGUGGGACGCUGGGAGGUAUGGACUUUGGUCUGUACGGAGCGGACGUUGGGAUACCACUCUUCUGUUAUUGAGAUUCUAACCUCAAGCCGUAAGCCGGAUGAGAGACAGUGUCAGGCGGACAGUUUGACUGGGGCGGUCGCCUCCGAAAGAGUAACGGAGGCGCCCAAAGGUACCCUCAGAAUGGAUGGAAACCAUUCGAAGAGAGCAAAGUCAGAAGGGUGCUUGACUGCGAGACCAACAAGUCGAGCAGGUACGAAAGUAGGGCUUAGUGAUCCGGCGGUAAGAGAGUGGAAUUGCCGUCGCUCAACGGAUAAAAGCUACCUCGGGGAUAACAGGCUGAUCUCCCCCAAGAGUUCACAUCGACGGGGAGGUUUGGCACCUCGAUG